AGAUAAAACCCUUAAAACCCAAAUCAAACUCGCGUCAAAAAUUGGACAUGGACUACCAGCAGCCCCACGGCUACAUGAGGCAUCCCCCGCCACCGCCUCCGCCUCCGCCUCCGCCACCGCCCGCGGCGGAUCCGUUCCAAAGACCACCACUCCCUCCCCCCCAAUCCAAUCAUCCGUGGCCCUAUCCCCCUACCCAAUUUCAAUACCAGCCCCAAACACAACACUCCCCUUCCCCUCCUCCUCCGCAGUGGCCGCCGCCGCCUCAGUCAUCUGACCAUCCUCAAUACGCUCAGCAUCCCUAUCAGACGCAUCAGCCUCCGCAUUACCCUGCCCACCCUCACUAUCCGCCUCCGCCCCAGCUUCCGCCUAGACCGCCUCACGCUUCUCAGUCCUACCCUCAGGACUGGGGAAGUGGCGGUUGGAGUCAUCAUCAAAAUUGGCAAUACCCAAAUGCAGCUAAUAACAAUGAAGAAGACUGGGCAGCUAGAGCUAAGGCAUGGGCUGCUGCUAAAUCUGCCUCGGACAAUCAACACACUCCAUCACAUUUUGGACCAGGUGGAAGACCAGAAGAGCAAAAUCAUUUCCACGAGAAAUAUCCUCAACAAUUUCUUGAUGGGCAUGUGCCAGUAGCUCCAGCAUCAAACUAUCAUCAAUUCCCAGUUUCAAUGGGGUCGUCAAACAGGACAGGUGUAGAUGUACACGCUCCAUUUCCGGCUAGAGAUGGAGGCACAUCUGGAGAUUCAAUUCCACCUUUCCCUCCACAAGAAAAAUCACCUAUAAGUCCACUAGUCCAUCAGCAGGAGGUACCUUCUAGUUAUUCUUCUGUUGCAGGUAAUGUGGAGGCUGUGGAUAGAUACGAAAAGCUCAAUAGCUCUUCAUCUACUCCAGUUGCUUCUUUUCCGCCACAUCAUUUUCAUCAUAUGCCGCCCACAACUGGCAGAUGGAUGGAGGAACCUCAUCAUGUACUUCAUAGCCAGCCAACUGAGUCUGUAACUGACAUGAGCGAUCAACCACUGAAUUUUGCACCACAUUACAAUCGUGAUCCUGAGACGCAUGUCCAACCCAACUAUGCGCACUCUUCCAGCGUUUCUGUUAGAGGUGGAGAUCCUACUGUGGCUAUGUCUUCAAACUAUGCGUGGCCUCCUCAUGCUGCACCUGGGGCUGCUUAUCCUCCGCCACCUCCGGCAAUGCCAUUAGGGUCACAGGUUGAUCAUCCAAUAGCUAUGCCUUCUCCAGUAUCUGGACAUACUGCUCCAAUAUUUCCUCCUGGUCCUGGUUUCCAGCCUACUGUUCCAAUGGUAGGUAGUGGUGUUUUUGGGGUUGGUGCAGGAGUAACACCUCAUCCCACAACAUUUUCAGGAGAUGCUUUUGGUUCAGCUGACCGUCCUAAAAAGGCAUCCGUACCUAACUGGCUUAGGGAAGAAAUCAUUAAGAACAAGGCUGUUAUCACGAGUACAAGUUCUGCCCUGAAUUUUCCCAAGGAGGAAUCACAAUUCAUGAAUGAUGAUGAUGAUAACGAUAAGCCUUCUAGGAAGGGAGAUCAAUCAGACCACAAAAGCAACGAUUCAUCAACAGAAGAUGAAGAUGAGGAUGAGGUUGAAGUUGCUAGAACUGCAGCUAUUAACCAGGAGAUAAAGCGUGUUCUGACUGAUGUUCUUCUGAAGGUUACUGAUGAUCUGUUUGAUGAAAUAGCUACCAAAGUUCUGAAAGAAGAUGGUCCCUCAGUUGAAGUUAAUCGAGAUGGUGACUUGUCAAAACACCACUUAUUGCCUUCUGCUCCACCAGUUUCAACACCCAAGGCCUCUGCCAAGAUUCUGAUCCCAACCAAGGCCAAGGGAAGUGACAAUGAGGAUGCUAGUGAAAGAUCUACUUCUGGUUCCGCUGGAGAUAUACUGGGGCUGGGUAAUUAUGCCUCGGAUGAGGAAGAUGAGAUACAGAAUCCAGGCAAGCCAAAUUUAAAGGAUGGCUCCAUGCAACAGAGCAAGCUUUUGGACUCUAAUCCUGUCAUUGAGAACAGUGGUUCCCCGGAACAAAGAAAUGUUCCAGCUAGUGCUGCUGAAAAUCUGCCAAAUGAUAAUAUGGCUGCUAAAGAAUUUGCAUCAGAUAAUAGUCUGCAUUCCUCUAAGAGAUUGUCUGGCACUGUAGAGAAUGAGUACCAGCAUGGUUAUGAUACUUCUAUAUCGAGCAACUAUUUGACUGAAAAGGCUGUUGAGAGAGAUGAAAUACCAGAUGGGAAUUUUGAAGCUCAAAGGUGGAUGAACAAUGAUUCCCGUACCCAAAAUACCCGGAGCGGAUCUGAUAAAAAUGAUGAGCUUGAAAACAAAAGAAGCUCAAUGAAGAAAGAGCAAAAAAAAUCAGAAAGUUCUAAGGGUAGAUUGGAUAAGAAGGGAGAUGAAGAACAUAGAAGACAUGAAGAAAGGCGAGCAAGAGCUGGUAGGAAUGACCAUCAUGAUAAUUUCAAAGAUAAAGUGAAGGAGAAAGGUAAGACUGAUGAAAAAGCAAUUAACAAUGAACCAAGGAGGCGGCCCUCUUCUUCCGAUGACAAGGAAGGGACAGUUGAGGCACACAAAGAUAAAAGAAGUAGUAGUAAAAAAGACAAUGAUGGGAAAAGGAAAGAGAGAACAGGGGAUGACAGAAAAGAACGAUCUAGACAUAAAAGUGGUACUGAACCCAGUAGGCAUAAACGGCGCCGGUCAUCUUCAGUUGGUGCCAGGGAUAGAGGGACCAAGGAUAACUCCUUGGAUAGUCGUGCAAAUGAGUCGAGUGAUGAGUCAUCAGAUGAUUCUAGAAGGAAAUUACAUCACUCGAGAAGACAUAAAUCUCCAUUGCCCACCAGGACAAGAAAAAGACAAGUUUCGCGGUCACCCCAUAGCAAGCAUUCUAAGCGCAGGAAUUCUCCCUACUCUUCUCUUGAGAGUACCAGGGGGAAAAGAUCACCAUCACUGUCGCCAUCAAGAUCAAGAUCCAGAUCGCCUGUGCACCGCCGACGAUAGUAGGUUUGAAACUGGGUGAAGCCCGACUUAUCUCCAUGCCAAGCCAUAUCCUGCCACCAUGAAUGAUGAUAUGAAGUCACACACAGGAACAGUGUGGAGAAGCAAAGAUAUCAGCUCACAACCUUUGAUUGGGUGGGAAUUGAUUACUAUCUUGGAAGAAGUCAAGAUACGUCUGCAGGGGUUGCUAUGUGGAGACGGCGACAUGAUGCUGUAAAGCCACCAUUCAGCAUUUUCUGGACAUAGACGCAUGUUUCAAAUGGUGUUAUGCUGUGAUACACAGCUUCCGAGUCAAUGCUCAUGGUUUUGAUGCAGGUUCAACCUUUUUUUAAGCUGUAGUAUUAGCUGCUGCCUUAUUCCUUCAAUGUAAUCAAACUUCUUAUGCGUUCUUCACUUUGUAUGUAGAAUAUGUAGAAUCUCGACUGCACAAUACCUUUUCGGCACAUUCUUACAUCGGUUUUAUCUACAAAUAUUGACAUAAAAACUUGUCUAGUCCAGCAAUAUAUUUCUUGUGUUCACUUA